UACGAAGGGGGCUAGCGUUGCUCGGAAUCACUGGGCGUAAAGCGCACGUAGGCGGAUUGCUAAGUCAGGGGUGAAAUCCUGGAGCUCAACUCCAGAGCUGCCUUUGAUACUGGCGAUCUUGAGUCCGGGAGAGGUGAGUGGAACUGCGAGUGUAGAGGUGAAAUUCGUAGAUAUUCGCAAGAACACCAGUGGCGAAGGCGGCUCACUGGCCCGGUACUGACGCUGAGGUGCGAAAGCGUGGGGAGCAAACAGG
rnacentral:rRNA from 1 species